rnacentral:rRNA from 1 species
CCUACGGGUGGCAGCAGUGAGGAAUAUUGGUCAAUGGACGCAAGUCUGAACCAGCCAUGCCGCGUGCAGGAAGACGGCUCUAUGAGUUGUAAACUGCUUUUGUACGAGGGUAAACGCAGAUACGCGUAUCUGUCUGAAAGUAUCUUACGAAUAAGGAUCGGCUAACUCCGUGCCAGCAGCCGCGGUAAUACGGAGGAUUCAAGCGUUAUCCGGAUUUAUUGGGUUUAAAGGGUGCGUAGGCGGUCGGAUAAGUUAGAGGUGAAAUCCCGAGGCUCAACUUCGGAAUUGCCUUUGAUACUGUUAGGCUAGAGAAUAGUUGCGGUAGGCGGAAUGUAUGGUGUAGCGGUGAAAUGCUUAGAGAUCAUAAAGAACUCCGAUUGCGAAGGCAGCAUACCGGCGCUCAACUGACGCUCAUGCACGAAAGUGUGGGUAUCGAACAGGAUUAGAUACCCGAGUAGUC